AGCAGCCGCGGUAAUUCCAGCUCCAAUAGCGUAUAUUAAAGUUGUUGCAGUUAAAAGCUCGUAGUUGAACUUCAGGCCUGGCUGGACGGUCCGCCUUCCGGGCGAGCACUGUCUGUGGUCGGGUCCUACCUUCUGGCGAAGCGUCAUGGCCUUUACCGGCCGUGGCGGGGAACCAGGACUUUUACUGUGAAAAAAUUAGAGUGUUCAAAGCAGGCUCGCGCUUGAAUACAUUAGCAUGGAAUAAUGGAAUAGGACGAUGGUUCUAUUUUGUUGGUUUCCAGGACCGUCGUAAUGAUUAAUAGGGAUAGUUGGGGGCAUUAGUAUUCAAUUGUCAGAGGUGAAAUUCUUGGAUUUAUUGAAGACUAACUACUGCGAAAGCAUUUGCCAAGGAUGUUUUCAUUAAUCAAGAACGAAAGUUAGGGAUCGAAGACGAUCAGAUACCGUCGUAGU
rnacentral:rRNA from 1 species